UCACAGGAAGAGGCUUGGUGGCUACAGAAAGACAGAAAGAUGCCUCACCUGCUUCCAGCUGAUUCAGCCCCCUACUGUCCCAUCUCCAGACACGUCAAACUGCAACUGGAUGACAGACGUUAAGCUGGAACUUUGCAGAACAAAUUUCAUGAAUAAUAGGACUUGGUCCAGGCUCCUAACCAUCUUUCAUCCUUGGGUGUAUCCAUCAGCCUAGGAACACCUAACACCAUGUGGUGUUUAAUCCUACAGCAAACUAUCGACACUUUCAACUUGAAUGAUCAUGUAUCACUUAGUUUUCAAGUUUAAUUCACGUGCAUCUACCUCUUCUCCACUGUUGACACCAGAAAACUCCCUUCCAUAUGCCCUUGUGGAACUCGCUAUACUUCGUUCAACAAACGUUCAGUGACUACCUGCUAUGUGUCCAGAAUAAAUUAAGAAUACAGUU
rnacentral:lncRNA from 1 species